rnacentral:rRNA from 1 species
GACGAACGCUGGCGGCGUGCUUAACACAUGCAAGUCGAACGGAAAGGCCCUGCUUUUGUGGGGUGCUCGAGUGGCGAACGGGUGAGUAACACGUGAGUAACCUGCCCUUGACUUUGGGAUAACUUCAGGAAACUGGGGCUAAUACCGGAUAGGAGCUCCUGCUGCAUGGUGGGGGUUGGAAAGUUUCGGCGGUUGGGGAUGGACUCGCGGCUUAUCAGCUUGUUGGUGGGGUAGUGGCUUACCAAGGCUUUGACGGGUAGCCGGCCUGAGAGGGUGACCGGCCACAUUGGGACUGAGAGACGGCCCAGACUCCUACGGGAGGCAGCAGUGGGGAAUAUUGCACAAUGGGCGGAAGCCUGAUGCAGCAACGCCGCGUGCGGGAUGACGGCCUUUGGGUUGUAAACCGCUUUCGCCUGUGACGAAGCGUGAGUGACGGUAAUGGGUAAAGAAGCACCGGCUAACUACGU